rnacentral:tRNA from 1 species
GAACGGGCAGUCCGGCUACUUCGACCGGGCGCUGGCGGUGUACGGGCAGGCCGGUCGGCCGUGUCGCCGGUGCGGCGCCGUCGUCGUCCGC